AUGUUGAACACACCAUUGAAUACAAUUACCCGCAUUUUCACAAGUGGUAUCCAGCUUGUGUUUUUUAUUGCGUGGUUUAAUAGACCUUACAUAUUUCAGCUCACCAUAUCGAUCCAUUCCAUACAGUUCAUUUCAUAUGUAGUACGAAUUUUACUAAUAACACAGUUCAUGCUAUACAUAAUGAAUUACAACUUUACGAGUGAAUUGGUCUACCACAAGAAUGGAAAACUCACCAUACAGCUUCCCUUUUGUCAGGUGGCCACCACAAAAACGGUAGCCUACAAUGCUCGGUUAAAUGGGAUUAAGUGGUACCGCAAAGAUUGGAAGUAA
rnacentral:rRNA from 1 species